CAUGCUUGCUGUGUAGCAAAUGGAAUCUCUUGCACAAUUGGAACUGUGUCAGAGAUUAUAUAAGCUACACUUCCAGCUGCUAUUGCUUUUUCAGUCCUACUGUAAGCUCAUCGGCCAGGUGCACGAAGUUAGCUCCAUGCCAGAGCUGCUGAAUAUGUCCAGGGAACUGAGUGACCUAAAGAAACACCUGAAGGAAGCCAGUGCAGUCAUUGCAGCUGACCCUCUCUAUUCAGACGGCGCGUGGUCCGAGCCCACCUUCACGUCCACUGAAGCAGCCAUCCAGUCCAUGCUGGAGUGCCUGAAGAACAACGAACUCGGCAAAGCUUUGCGGCAGAUCAGGGAGUGCAGAAGUCUGUGGCCCAAUGACAUCUUUGGAAGCAGUUCUGAUGAUGAGGUCCAGACACUACUGAAUAUUUAUUUCCGUCACCAAACUCUGGGACAGACGGGUACUUAUGCCCUGGUGGGGUCUAACCAGAGCCUGACCGAGAUCUGCACCAAGCUGAUGGAGCUGAACAUGGAGAUCCGGGACAUGAUCCGCAGGGCCCAGAGUUACCGAGUCCUCACUACUUUUCUUCCAGACUCCAGUGUUUCUGGCACUAGUCUCUGACAGGAGCCUCCUGUCCCCACUGGGUUCCAAACUGGCAGUGCUG
rnacentral:sRNA from 1 species